CCCUACGGGGUGCAGCAGGCGCGAAACCUUUACAAUGCACGAAAGUGUGAUAAGGGAACCCCAAGUGCUCAUGUAUGACAUGGGCUUUUGCCAAGUGUAAAUAGCUUGGAGAAUAAGUGGUGGGUAAGGCUGGUGCCAGCAGCCGCGGUAACACCAGCGCCACGAGUGGGAACCACAUUUAUUGGGCUUAAAGCGUCCGUAGCUGGUCUUGUAAAUCUCUUGUGAAAUCAUCCGGCUCAACCGGAUGGCGUGCAGGAGACACUGCAAGACUCGAGACCGGGAGGAGCUAGGGGUAUUCUAGGGGGAGCGGUAAAAUGCAAUAAUCCCUAGAGGACCACCUGUGGCGAAGGCGCCUAGCUAGAACGGUUCUGACAGUGAGGGACGAAAGCUAGGGGAGCGAUCCGGAUUAGAUACCCGAGUAGUCCUAGCCGUAAACGCUGCGAGCAAGGCGUUGCGUGUUCCACGAGAAUACGCAGUGUCGAAGAGAAAUCGUUAAGCUCGCCGCCUGGGAAGUAUGGUCGCAAGACUGAAACUUAAAGGAAUUGGCGGGGGAGCAC
rnacentral:rRNA from 1 species